GAUGAACGCUGGCGGCGUGCCUAAUACAUGCAAGUCGAGCGAACAGAUAAGGAGCUUGCUCCUUUGACGUUAGCGGCGGACGGGUGAGUAACACGUGGAUAACCUACCUAUAAGACUGGGAUAACUUCGGGAAACCGGAGCUAAUACCGGAUAACAUAUUGAACCGCAUGGUUCAACAGUGAAAGGCGGCUUUGCUGUCACUUAUAGAUGGAUCCGCGCCGUAUUAGCUAGUUGGUAAGGUAACGGCUUACCAAGGCAACGAUGCGUAGCCGACCUGAGAGGGUGAUCGGCCACACUGGAACUGAGACACGGUCCAGACUCCUACGGGAGGCAGCAGUAGGGAAUCUUCCGCAAUGGGCGAAAGCCUGACGGAGCAACGCCGCGUGAGUGAUGAAGGUCUUCGGAUCGUAAAACUCUGUUAUCAGGGAAGAACAAAUGUGUAAGUAACUGUGCACAUCUUGACGGUACCUGAUCAGAAAGCCACGGCUAACUACGUG
rnacentral:rRNA from 1 species